AUCUCUAGAGCCUGUUCUACCGUGUGUCCGGGCCAGGUGAGUGAGCUCUGAAAGCUAGGUUCCACGAUGCGAUGACCAUAGUCAGGCCGCAGCACAAGGAGCUCGAACUGCUCAUCGGAAUACUUACUGAUAAUAAUGGCUCGUUCUAUAGUAUCUAAAUUUUCAAUCAUAACAGUUUCUGCACUAAUAGACUUGAGGUUCAGACUGAAUGCUCAUGGAUACGAUGCCUGUAUCUAUCGGGUGAACUGAAGCGCAUCUACGAGAUCGACCUCGUGCUGAGAUAUCCCACUAUUGAUCUCGUCGACACCACUCCACACGAUGUGUUUGCAAAACAAAAAAAACAUUUCUGCAACUAUUUCUCCUGCAUGUUGUGGCCUCCUAGGAUUGGCCUGAGGUGACCAAGUAUGUUGGCCUGGUCUCUGCUCAAGUUCACAGUCAAGAGUUGAUAGAGGAUCUGAAAAAUGUCACCCAUGAUCCUCAGAGAGGAAGCAUGCAUGGUUGCAUGAUCAGGGAGAUUCUCAUACCCUUCUAAAGAUCAACCGGAGAAAAGCCUGAGCGGAUACUGUUCUAUAUGUAUGCUUCAUGGAAGAAACUUACACUCAUUCUUUAAGCCAAAUGUUGUUUUGUCAGAAGAAAUACCCGCAGUAAGGUGGCAAAUCACUUGAAAUCCUAGACAGUUUUAAUGGAAUCGACUAGUUAGUCUUGAUUUUUUACCGAGUCAAGGCGACAUUGGUUGAGUUUUAUUUUAUGGGAUGAUUUCAGUGAAGGCCAGAUCUACCGAGUUCUAUUCUAAAAGGCAUGCGUGUCGCUGGAAGCGAACUACCAGCCUCAGGUCACGUUCAUCAUAGUGCCACCACACCAGGCUUUUGCGCACAACCACAACGAUCAGAAUUUGGUCGACCGCAGCGGCAACAUCCUUCCAACUGAUUGUUAAUUGACGGGAGCAGUGGCCUCAGGGAGGAUGUCCUGCACCAGAUGCUACAGUAGCGCGAGGAGCUGAAGCAGGUCGAGAUUGACAUCCGCCCACCCACAAAUCAUUUGGGUGCAGGUCACUGGGCAGGUUCGGGAAGCCUGGCAACGUGCAUUUUUUUGCGGCUGAAUAGCAAUAGUUAGCUCUUGUGUUGAAAAUCCUCCAAGCAUGCCACCCACAGAUCAACAUCCGCCCACCCACAGAUCAAUGUUGUCAUGCUUUCAUUGAAAAUUCUCCAGGCUUGAAAUGUUCACUUUAGGUAGGUACGCUGCCAUUACUUGCUGGCAACCGAGCAAGCAAUAGUUAGCUCUUUUGUUUCUCAUUGAUUCAGUAUCAUGCAUACUUGAUGCCUUGUUGUGACUUCUUUCUAUUCAAUUCUUUUUGCCUAUUUUUUUUGGAAUUUUUUCUUUUAAAUUGUUGGUACUGAUGUUUCAGAGUUUACAUUGUGUGAUCUAUUCGUUUAUUCAAAUAUAUCAACCGCCCUUUUCUUAUAUUGGUUACAACUUUAUUUCAUUUGAAAAAUAUUCUAUCUUUUGCCCAAUACUAGUAGCACUGCUGUUAUAGGCAGCAGUAGCACCACAUGUAACAAUUUGUAGGUAUUACUACUAUUAUGGCAAUUUUUCCUUUUUCUGAAAUUACUUGCCUUUCCAAGACAGUAAUUCAGCUAGUCACCAUACCGAAUUUUCUCCCAAGUUUUGUUUAAACAUCUUAAUGUUUUAUCUUACUAUUUGGAAGUUAGUUUGUGUAUUUCUGUAGCUGAAUCUUGGUAAUUACAUGGCUAAAGAAUACCAAGCAUGGGAAACUUUUCAAAUAGCCUCUUUUUGUCUCCGAGGUUUAGGUAGAUUUUGGGUUUCUUUUCUUUUUUCCUCUAUGUGAGCUCUAUGAUAUUGUGGUUAUAUUUCAUCUAGGCUUAGUUGUUAGAGGUUCUUAUGCUACUAUUUAUGGUAAGCGUAAGCCACUGUGAUCGACUGGUUUUGUGUUGUUGGUCUAAGUUUGCUACUAUUUGUUAUGAACACAACUAGUUGUUACUUUUUGGUCCUGAUCAAGUCUUGCUUAGGGAGUUACUAGCUAGAACCGAGCAAAGGUCCCCUUUUUCUCAUUGAUUCGAUAUCAUGCAUAAUUGAUGCAUACAUGGAUGGCGGUGAUUUAGUUCUUUUUGUAUUCAAUUCCUUUUGUCCAAAUCAAUGGAAACUGGUCAUGUAUACUUGUUGGUACAAUGUUUUAAAAUUGGUUAUUCAUUCAUAAUUUUUAAUUUCUCCCUGUAUCCCGUUUGUAAGUAAGAUCACCAUGCACAUCGGGAUGCUCGCAAUCUCAUGUAUUUGCGUUUGCAUAUUUAGUGUACAUAAUACUCUUGUCAGGUGGUUGUAUCAUGUUUAUUUCAUAAAAAUGGAGCUUUUUCCAUUCUGGUAUUUUAACAAUGCAUUGUUACUAACACUGGAGUUAUGUACCGCUCUUUUGAAUCACUCGAGCUUGUGGAAAAUUAAUGAUUUUUUCAUUGGUAUUCAACAUUGAUUUGUAUGACAUAAUUAUAUAGCAUCUCUCCCUGUAUCCUUCGUACAAGUAUGGUCUUCUUGCCUAUUUCGAUCCUGUUAGCUCAUUUGUAUUGGAUAGGUAUUUGGAAAGAUAAAGGAGUUGAAGGAAUCAAUUGACGUGGGAUUGGCUCAUUGUGACAAUAUACUUAAAUCUAUUGCAUCGAAGUUUGUGCAUUGGAACCAUGUGAAAAUGACAUGAAAAAUAAAUUUACCACACUUUAAACAAGUUGAGUGCCGACGUGAUGAAGAAAUUCUUAGUUGGUGAGGGAUGGAAUCCAGUUUUUGCAGCUAGUCAGGUAAUAAAAUUUACUCUCAGCCUGAUGCCUAAUUAUGUGCCUGCCACCCGGAUUCUCUGGUUUUUCUGUGUGGGUCGCAUGAUUUUACAACAUAUAUUUGCACGCUUAGGAUGCGCUCUAGCAUGCUACACUUGAGAGUAAAUCUCAAGUGGGCUCAAUUUUUCAAGUUCUUAAUACAAAAGAAUCUCCUUCAACAUAUUUUUUAGACAAACAAAUUUACUUCAGCCUUCCAGGGAGCUGUUGAUGCUUAUGGGUAUGUUCUCGAGAGUACAAUGUUAUUCUAUAGUUGAUAUACUACUUUUUUUUUACUAUCUUUGUUCUUGUGGAUUUGAAAAACUCCAUGGGCCCCCACUAGAUUAUUGUUCUGAAACAUGCAUUGGGCUAGUUGUCUCUCUUGGGCAAUAACAAUAAAGCCUUUUGUCCCAACUCCCAAGCAAGUUAUCUCUCUUGGUCAUGUAUUUUCUGUUCUUCAAUAUAUUUUUCUGUGUAAGCAUGUUUAGCACUUGAAAAAAUCUUAUGCAUAUUCACCAAAGAAGCGUUGGUAUUUUCCGUUAGAAAUUGUGUGUUUUACGUUUGUGUUUUUCGGGAGAAUGUGUUUUACAAUAUAACAGAUUUUUUUGCAGCUUUUUCUACGUGCCUAGAAUCAUAUUAGUUCAUUUCCUUUGAAUUAAACAAAAAUGAAAUGCUUAUUUGAAAUGAAUAAGGGGUCUUCAUGUUACUUGGGUUCGUGUCAAAUAUCUUAAGUUUUGUAAGCGCUAACUUUUCCUUACGUCGGGUGCAUGGUAGCCAAGUAUCAAGAAGCAAAUCCUGGUGUAUUUACUAUUGUCACGUUUCCUUUCUUAUUUGCUGUUAUGUUUGGAGAUUCGGGUGAUGGAAUUUACUUAUUACUUGCAACACUCUUAUCUCAUAAUCCGGGAGAAGAACUUUGCUUCACAGGUUUGCUCACUAGUCUUUUACAAUUUGGUAAGCAACUGAGCAUGCCUGAGCAUGCCUGUGGAUAGUUUUUUUUAAUGAGAUGCACUACUUAAAUUGCUCUACUUUCUAAAUGUUACAUGUCACUGGAGGUUCCUGGAAAUAACACCAACAUUAAGAAUGCAUUUUGAAGAAGGAAAAUAAGGAAAUGAAUGCUGGAAGAACAUCUUGCAUCUUUAAUCUCGAUUAAAACAUUAUUACUUAAUUGAUGUUGUAUAGUUGAAACAAUUUUAUUGGUCAUCCUUAAUAUAUUUAAUGUUCUUACCUGUAGGUUCAGAUGAUGUAGUGGCAACGAUUUUUUUAACAGCCCAGAAUUCGUCAAGCAUAAAUCAAAGAAGCAUGUACCAAAUUAGGCUUUGUGGGACAACUUGACUUAUCAGCUUGAAAGCUUCAUCACCAUACAUUCCUUUCAGCAAUGGGAUACAAACAAUCUUAGUAUUGGGAAGUGUCGACAAGGAGAAACAUGCAGAUGGUUUCGGAGAUGCCUGCGCAUGAGCAUGUGAAAGGUGGAGAUGGCAUCGUCGUAGACGUAGCAGUAAGUCGCCGAGUUGCUGCUGCUGGCAUCAACUAUGCCCUGCUUCCCCUGCCUUCUUAAACUAAGAUGUCUCUUAUAGCUCAGCGUCCCUUGGAAGCCAAACGAAUGGAUGGGUCAGACAAAUCGGUGAAGAUAAUGCACAAGUUCUUGGAGCAGUAUGCCUGCUAGUCCAACACCUUCUUCUCCUCUGUCGUCAUGAAGGUCUUGUAACUAUCAGAGUUGAUGUUGCCACCCCCAACAUUUUCUAGCUCAUGCUGAUGUUGAUGGCCACCUCCCCAAACAGCUGCUCCUCUGCCAGGAGUCUGGCAAUUUGAAGCAGGAUGUGAUGGGCAGCAUCAAUGCGGAGCAGUAUAUGUCUGUCGUUGCCCAUGUGGAGCAGCAGGCCGGUAGCGAGGUGCUCCGGUCAUGGUAUUCAUCCAAGAAGCAGUGGAAGAAGAGCCGUACGAGUUUGGCAAGGAAUGUGGGGAGAGCUACACUGGUCCGGUGAUGUCCGUGGGAGCGUGUGGAGCAAUGGGAUGGUAGCGAGGUUCCCUAUCAUCAUCCAUGAAGAGCUUGAUGAAGCGUGUAGUUCCAAGGUUGGAGUAAAUGCCAGACAAACUUGCAUACUGAUCUGCCUCCACUUUGCACUCUGUAUACUAACGCCGGGGACAUCCACCACUCGGACGCCGGGCACAAGAACGACUACAACUCGCAUCGAUGGGAGAGGUAUUCUACAGUUCAAAAAAAGUAUGCUUGAGACGUGUCUUUACCAUAGGGCAAGGAGGGGGAGGAGUAAAUGGCAAGCAAGCUGGAACCAAUAGCUGCACUAGUUAGAAACUGGAGAACCCGGGGACAACUGAGACGGACACCAUGCCUUUGUCUCACCAUAUCUACUUAGUAGUGUCUCCCUUUUUGCUGCAAUGUGUUGCUAGGUGGGUGUGGCCUCCCAGGCUUUGUCCUGUGCUGUUGGUGUUCUGCCUCAGCUGGCCCCUCGGCACCGGCUACUUAGUUGCUUCUCCCCUUUUUGCUGAUAUAUUCAUCAUCAGUUGCGCAACGGUAAGCUUACUGUACCUUGUGAAAACCACUUUGAUGAUCCGAACCAUGUUAUAUGUAUUUGCUGCAUGAACGCGUCUCAGCUUCCAUCUUAACUCUGUAACAUGUAGUUUGCAAUAUCAUCUACUCAACUAUCAAUGUGUUUCCGCUUGAAGUUAGUAAUGUCAGUAUGUGUGUGGAUCUUCUUGAUUUGCUAUUUGGUUCCAAUCUGGAGGAGUUCGGUCAGUGGGGCGGGAAGUACAACUAGUUACUUGCAAUUCCGGUUAAAGAAAUUUUCGUUCCGGAACCUAUCAAAUGGUCACCUAGAUGCUUAUAAAUACCUAACUAGGUUAAAGAUUAUAACCUAUAUGUCAGAGUUUACCAGUUUUGAGAAAAUAAAGCUGCCAAAUGUUGUUUUAUAUAUUUGGUAACAGCAAAACUACAAUAUGCAGGAAAUAAGUUUAGCAUGGUCACCUUUUUUAACUGCCUAGCACUGCAUUUGUAUAUUGUUUCCCCUAUUUCUUUGUUUACUAGGAUACAUGUUUGAGUGAAUCAUAAAAUGAAGACAUUUGCUUUGCUUUUUUUUUAAACUUCACUUGAUGUCCAUUAAACGUUUGGUUUGAAGAGCCUGAUGUGGCCAACACGGAACAGUUGGUUAGUAAUUUAAAGAUGAGACGUUGCAUACUUGGAAGAUUGCCUCUUCACAACUUGUUCCGAUGUAUGGUGGAAGACGGCUCACAUAGAUGAGGCUCAUCCAGUGGGUGCAACCUCUGUUUCCUUGGCUCCUGCAAUGGCGCCGUGUGCUCUACCAGGCAGAUCGAUUAUAUGUAGAACCUUGCAUGUGGUGGAUGUAACUAUUUGCAAUGCAGGACCAUCACUAAGCCACUCUGUUCAGGGAUGUGUGCCUGACAAAUCAAUAUGAUAGCUGAAGAUCUAGUUGGCCAGGAGGUGAGGUGAACUGGGGAACAUCUUUUGUUUUUUCGGGUGUGUUUCUGUGCACACAAGUCCCAAGUCUAUAUCCUCGUUGUAAUUUUGCCUUGAUGGAAUAGUGAGUAGGUGAUGUAGUUGUCAGACUUUGGAGGCAUUAGAUGUAUGUAAUAUGGUAAAAUUUUGUUGUUGAUAGUUAAAAAGCUCUUGAAAUUUUGUAGUACAUUACAUAGUGUGUCCAAAUGUUGUAUGUAAAAAUGAUGGAGAAAAAUUACUACUGUCUCUCUUUGGUGUUGCUGUGAGUCAAAGGAAAUUUUUGUGUAUGUGGAUUUGAAACCAGAGUAUGUGUGUGUGUAUGAGGAUCAUGCCAAAUUGUGUAACACUCUUUGCUAAUGCAUAUAUUGACUACUUGGAUUACAA